GACUGCUCCAAGCAUCAACCACGCAGAUUAACGCAUUUUGAGCACCAUUUAUUUUGACUUUUGGAAUCGAUUCUUGAACUGCUAAUGUUAACAAUCUCCCAUGUCUUUUCACUUUUUACAAGACAUACAGUACCUUCUCUGCCACUUUCUCUACACCCUGGCGAAGCUCGUGCACCAUGUCAUUCAUCUCGAGAGCUUUGUUGGAGCUGAAGUUGUUGAAGUCGUGGUGGUGAGCCAUGCUCUGAUGGAAAUGCCACAGAGGAUCCCUCCAUGCCACCAGGAGCUUCAGGAUCACCUCUGUCAGCUCCCCUCUCUGUAGGGACAACCAGACAGGUUCCAUUCAUCCUGAAGGACGUCCAGUCUCAGAGCUGAUGGCAAAGAAGCUUUUCUUCAUAUGAGUGUCUCUCACUGACCAUUUCCCAUUUUCACUUUCAUAUCAAAGAGAAAAAGAGAGGGGGGGGGGUACCUCGUCAUGCUGUGUGUGUGUGUGUGUGUGUGUGUGUGUGUGUGUGUGUGUGUGUGUGUGUGUGUGUGUGUGUGUGUGUGUGUGUGUGUGUGUGUGUGUGUGUGUGUGUGUGUCUAUCAUGAUAGAGUAACCUGAGGCAGUCUUGAAGAGCGAUAGCAUCAUCAACUAAGACGUCAUACAGCCACACUGGAUUUCCUGUCCAACACAUUUACGUCCACUAAGCAGGCUUGUCCCAUACCUAUUAUUUAUAUGUGCAUGUCGCCCAGCUAGAGAAAACAUAAACAGCCUAUAAAAGGGAUAUUUAGAGCCCUCCAGGCACUAAUCUGAAGGGUAGAAUCAUCUGAUGAGUAAACCACUGCAUGUUGAAAAGAUGUUACAUGAACCAGAACUGUUUGGUAAACAGGACUCAGAUUUUUGAUCAGAUUUUCUUUUAACUUAUUAGCCUGUUAUUAUUAUUAUCAUUAUUUUAUAGAUAGUUUUCUGUUUAUUAUCUGUUUGAUAAAUUCUAAAUACUUUUGAGUUCAUGCUGUUAUCUCAUCUGUCCUUGCUGUGAUAAAAUGACAUUGUGAAAUAGAGAAGUGUGUUGUUUCUUACAGUCACUGUGUACUUAGUGUUGUAAAGGUUUACAUGGUAAAUGGAUCAGUAUGGUUUUGUCAAUUCAAAGAUAUUUUUUAUUUCACCUGUUUAAACAGAAAAGGACUUCUCUAAAACCACAGGACACGUUCUGUGAUCAUCUGUUUCUUUUGUGCCAUGUCUUGUUUCACUUCCUAGCUUUGUGAUUCCCGCCUUUUUUGUGAUAGUAGCCUAUGUCCCUCACUGAUUUUCCUUCCUUGCGUUACCCGUGGAUAUGCUCUCCUUGUUCUUCGUGCCAUCCUGGCAAACAGUCACAAAUAGUGUGAUGACACUUGGAAUGACCAAACCUCUCCUUAAAAUGAAAGCACUUUCUUUUAGCCGAUGGAAUGGACAUAAGAGUUGAGUUUACAUAUUGUACAAAGUUUGCCUUCGACUUGAACAAAUUGUCAAAGUUUAUUUGCCCAGGCAGAUAAGUCUGCUCACGACCACAUAUAACUUUUAUUUUGUGUUUUUUUUCUUCUUCUUUUUUGUUUUAACACUUUAAAUUCAAUUGUCUUUUUUUAUUUUUCUAGGAACAUUUAAUUUGUGGAAAAAGGCACUUGUUUUACUGCUCUGUACGCUCUGGUGACAUGAGCAGGCACUCACAUGACUCAUUCCUUCAGUGACCUCAUCACAUCCACCCAGGAGAUAUUAAUUGAAAUUGGCUUCAAAUUAUUAAUUGACCAAAACUGUGUCUGAUCUUUUGAAAAUGUACUUUUGUAACUGCUUUCUUGAGCUUUUAUCUAUGUUCUAUCAAGUUUGGUUUGUUUCAGUAUCUGUGUUUUAUUAUAUUACAGUUCAACUUAUUUUGGGGUUUUAUUUAGUUUUUUAUUCUAAAUUAAUGAAUUUUGCUUGGAGCAUGAAUGUCUGUUCCAAACUCACAGCAUCAUAGUGAUAUAACCAACAGUUAUCAAGUUGUUGCCCCGGACAAAGUAUUAUACGGAGGCCUGAGGCUGUAUGCAGAAACCAAAAUACAUUGCGAAUCCUAGUCUUACCUAAUGGCUAAUUGACCCAUUGCCUUUAACAAUGUUAUCUCAUUGAGCAUCCUGCACAGCACAUGUUACUGUCAUAGAAAUUAAAUGAGAAAAAAAAGAACUGUGAAAUGUAAAGGACUUGACAAUGGAUAGACUUUCUACACAGACAGCGUUUAGGGGAAUUCAAACACACCACGACAUCCGGCAUAUGUCAGAGGUUGUUCAUUGACGUCACCACUGUACAAAUGAGUUAGCAUCUCCAACUCGCAGAUACACACAUUUAUUGGCAUAGUCAUAGGCCCUUUUUCAUUCACUGAAUUACUCACAUGAAACCCUUUAAGGACAGGUCUGUUUCUGAUAGUAAAUAGUAGAAAGUACAGUAUAGAGUAAUUUUUUCACUGGUAUUACAAACAUAUUAGUAAAUGUGUGUGUGGAGAGACAUUAACUGGAUUUUGUUAUCAAAGAUUAAAGGUUUUAGUUGGUAAUAUUGACUAUAUACAAACUAUCUUUUUAUACAUACCAUAAAAGUACCUUGUUAUAAUGAAAAAAGACCUGUUAGGAAUAAGUGUGUUUCUUGCCAUGAAGAGAAAAGGUUAGUUUUGGGCCAAGACAGCAAUACGCUCCCAUAGGUGCAUGUGUUUCACUCAAGGAAAGUUUUAGUGAUGACGCGAGGCUGGGACAAAACGUGACUGCUGCAUGCUCGGGGACAUAGUGUUGUUGGGCAGAUGGUCUCGUGUUGUCAUAUUCAGACUGACCUACAGAGUAACAGGGUGACUGUUACAGUCGUGCAUGCCCUCAGGCUUAAAAUCCUCUCAGACGUUGGCCUUUCACUCCAUUUCUACGACACAAACUUCGUCUGUGGUGACUGACCGCAAACUGAACCUUCCUCAUUGAAACAUAGUUUUAUUCAUCGUGUUUCUUUGGACUUCAUGUUGGUCCACUUAAAGCGUAAUCAGCAUUGUCAUUUAUUCAUGCUUUAAUGAAGUUGAACAACAUGUAGAUUUCUAACUAUUUAUUAAUAUAGGAAAAAUACAAGUGAUUUCAAAUGAAGAAUGAAAGAAUUUGAUGCAAAAAAGAAAACACUUUUUAAAUAUACAUACAACAGUUUUAUGAGGUAAACUAAAAAUGUAUUAUUCAAAUUAACACCAACUAAUUCAAAUUAUCUUUCUUUUUUAAAAUAUAGUUUGAAUUUGGUGUUUCUCUUUCAAAAACAAAAGCAUGUUGAAACCUUUAACAAAAUAAACUCAGCAACAAUUUGAAAGAAAAGAGAGACAUUUGACAGCCUUGAGGUACCGAUUUAUUAGGAUAAAUCAUCACAAUACUAUUUAUGUCCAUGUUUAACAUUUAACAUUGUUAACAUUAACACCACUAAAAUAUUGUCCCUCUAAGACAAAAUAAAUGUAAUGUCUUAAGUCGAGAAAUACAGUAACUGUCUGUCACUCCACAUACUCAAGGUAUCAAUGGAUAGAUAAUAUUAGUUUCAUUUAGGUAUUAAAGGAAUGAAUGCCUGGAUCAUUGCUGUAGUAAUUUCAUCCUCACAUUUACAUAAGUGGGGGCUUCAAUAAAUAAUAUAUAAAAACAUAUACAGCCCUCUAUCUCCAUAUGGAAGACAUUGAUCUAAUAAAACACUCUCUGUAUGGAAGGACUAAUCUUUUCUUGUAGAAGUGGAGUAAACCCCUGGGAUUUCUUGCUGUUAAAUACUGAGUUAUAUAGAAUAUCCUUAGACAGUGUCUAUGGAAGAAUGCUGUGUUUCAGUUUGACAGUUUAUAAUUUUUUCAUGCUUUGUGAUUUGUUGUGUACGUGCUGCCCUUUUCCCCUUUUCAUUUUUUCAUUAUUAUUAGCCCAGUCUUGGGUCAGAAACAAAUUGUUAUGUUUUGUGUGCCUCCUAAGAAAAGACAAUAAAAUAAAAUAUAUGGGGAAAAGGGAA